UACAUGUGGGGCAAGCGUUGUUCGGAAUUACUGGGCAUAAAGGGUGCGUAGGCGGCUUGCCAAGUCACUGGUGAAAGUUUUCGGCCCAACCGGAAAAUUGCCUGUGAUACUGGCGAACUUGAGUGCGUGAGGGGUGGGGGGAACGAGCAGUGUAGCGGUGAAAUGCGUAGAUAUUCGCAAGAACACCAGUGGCGAAGGCGGCUCACUGGUCCGGUACUGACGCUGAGGUGCGAAAGCGUGGGGAGCAAACAGG
rnacentral:rRNA from 1 species